GUUUAUCUAAAGGAAAGAAAGCAGUUGACAAUACCCAACAAUAAGAGACAAUGCAAGUGCUUUAAAUUGGAAAUUGAUCUGCAUGUGGGGAUUUUCGAUGGAAGCAAUUAUUUCUUCAAGGGAAUCUUUGAUUUCUUCAAGACCAGGAACACGAAUGGAAAUGUUCUGUCUGUGGCCCAGCAUGAAGAGGACAAAAGUUGCAAACUAAGUAAGAAACAGCCACAGUCAUCUCAUAUUCAUCCGUCUAAAAAUCACCAUGCAGAGAGAAGGAGCUUGCAGAUGCUAAGUAUUUUCCCUUCAUGGAAUUCCUUGGGAUAUUGCAGCAGACUGGCCUGCUGGAAUGCACACAUUUAGUGGGAAGAUUUUGCAAACCAAAGAGAUCUGAACUCUCUAAUCACUAAGAGUGGGUUGGUCAUUUCUAAUCAUGGCCAUUGGUAUCUUGGCCUUGCUCUAGGACUGGUCCACAGAACGGUUGGGCAAGAGGAAACUUCUGUCUGCCUGGAGCUUCCCGGUGCUCUCAGGAAGUGAAAGCUCUACCAGUCACUGAGAAAAGUCAGAUUCAACAGCACAGAUCAAAAUCAACCAUGCACAUCAGCAGUACAUAUUACUCACAUUAUAACAUCAAGCACAGGGCUAAGGCUCUGGCUCUAGGAUCAGACCCCAGAGUAUGUGGCCCCAUAUUUCUUUACUCUAACAGCAGGAUUUGCCAACUACUUUUGAGCAACUGGGAAGAGAAGAAAAAAAACACUCACACAACACAGAGAUGCAUUUGAACCAGAGUCAAACCUUUCAAAUUUCAAAGGUGAUAAGAACAGGCCAUGAGUGGUCUCUCACUUAUCUUGGUAGACACAAACCACAUGUUAACCUGGACUCUGAGCUGCUGUUCUGUUCUUUCUUCCAGCUCUGAACUAACAGCAAACAAUUGAAGGGAGACAAGAUUGAAAUAGCCUGUAGUCUUCUGUGAUGACGAAUUUCUGCUGUACCAUGAAAGCACUGUGGAAGAGAGCCCUGCCAUCUAUGUAAAUACACUUAAAGAGCAGAAGAUCUUCUGCGCUCUCUUUGUAGUUGUGAACGUGCUGUGUGUGCAAGGCAGAAGGUUGUGACAUGUCAUAAACUUCUCUAAUUUCUGCGGUCUUUUUACAGUCAUGAAUAGCAGUCAAUCUCUCUAAGCAACCCAUUCUGGAUUUUGGUUUAAAACCACUACAUAUUUGAAGUUAGAAACAAGAGAUAUUUUAGUAUUCUACCUCUUUCAACAUGUACUUUCUGUCUUGAUUUAAGUCCAAGAACUUAGUAAUAUGGUAGGCAGAAACUCACCUGUCAGAGAAGUUUACUUUUUUGGACAAAUGUUAUGCUAGAAAUCAUGGGAUGAUUUCAGAUAUUUUCAUCAUUAAAAGAAAUGUUGGAGUAAACCAUGGACAUGUGGACAUGAACUGAUGUGAAGUGAAUAGAUUGCAGACAAAAUUCUUCUCUCAUCUGGAGUAGAUUCAUUUGCUUCAGUGAAACAAUUCUGGAUUUCCAGUGAUGUAAUUUGGAACAGCAUCUGGCUUCAGAUACAUAAGAAGAUCUCCUUGUAAUGGUUUAUAUCACUGACUACUUACUGCAUGAUUUUGCUAUGCUUUUCUUAGCUCUUAUUAGCUACACAUAAUCGUUAGUCUUAAAUCUUUCUCAUGUUUCAUACAAGGCCAAUAAAAGCCUUGCAGAACGAGGAAAAUGUACAUUUCCUUCAGAUCACCACUGUGUGGCAUCUUUCAAAACUUAGUUAAAAUCACAGUCAAAAUUAUCUUCUCUUUUUAGUUUGGAUAUUACUUUAUGGAAUACAACUGAAGGAAAAGCCUCUCAGUUCUGUCUGUUCUUCACAUAAAGCAAGUCGGUGCAACAAGUCAGAGACAUUUACUUGGCGAACAGCCUUUAAUUAGUGGGAUUUUUCCCAUAAGGACUCUUCCUCUAUUUGAGUAAAUGUAUGUUGUGUUGACAGACAUCCAUUCUAGUCACCUUCACAUAGUUUCAUUAUUAUUUUCUUUUAAACAAAUAAAUACAGUGCGGGACCUGCCUUCUCUCAAACUUGUGGCCAAAUUCUGCUUCCAAAUAUGACACCCAUUCAUCAUCAUACAGAAUUUGUAAAGGAGAGGUGGACUGAAAGUUACUCUUCCUCUGUCACUGUGUGGAUGUUUUAGUACAUCAUUCUUUUCACUACAAGGCUUUCAAAGUCACACUCUGAACA
ensembl:lncRNA